AUUGAACGCUGGCGGCAUGCCUUACACAUGCAAGUCGAACGGUAACAGGUCUUCGGAUGCUGACGAGUGGCGAACGGGUGAGUAAUACAUCGGAACGUGCCUAGUAGUGGGGGAUAACUACUCGAAAGAAUGGCUAAUACCGCAUGAGAUCUACGGAUGAAAGCAGGGGAUCGCAAGACCUUGUGCUACUAGAGCGGCCGAUGGCAGAUUAGGUAGUUGGUGGGAUAAAAGCUUACCAAGCCGACGAUCUGUAGCUGGUCUGAGAGGACGAUCAGCCACACUGGGGCUGAGACACGGCCCAGACUCCUACGGGCGGCAGCAGUGGGGAAUUUUGGACAAUGGGCGCAAGCCUGAUCCAGCAAUGCCGCGUGCAGGAUGAAGGCCUUCGGGUUGUAAACUGCUUUUGUACGGAACGAAAAGCCCUGGGUUAAUACCCUGGGGUCAUGACGGUACCGUAAGAAUAAGCACCGGCUAACUACGUGCCAGCCGCCGCGGUAA
rnacentral:rRNA from 1 species